GACGAACGCUGGCGGCGUGCCUAAUACAUGCAAGUCGAGCGAGUCGAUGGGAGCUUGCUCCCUGAGAUUAGCGGCGGACGGGUGAGUAACACGUGGGUAACCUGCCUGUAAGACUGGGAUAACUUCGGGAAACCGGAGCUAAUACCGGAUAAUUUCUUUUCUCGCAUGAGGAGAGAUGGAAAGAUGGUUCUGCUAUCACUUACAGAUGGACCCGCGGCGCAUUAGCUAGUUGGUGAGGUAACGGCUCACCAAGGCGACGAUGCGUAGCCGACCUGAGAGGGUGAUCGGACACACUGGGACGGAGACACGGCCCCGAGUCCUACGGGAGGCAACAGUAGGGAAUCUUCCGCAAUGGACGAAAGUCUGACGGAGCAACGCCGCGUGAGCGAAGAAGGCCUUCGGGUCGUAAAGCUCUGUUGUUAGGGAAGAACAAGUACGAGAGUAACUGCUCGUACCUUGACGGUACCUAACCAGAAAGCCACGGCUAACUACGUGCCAGCAGCCGCCGCCGUAA
rnacentral:rRNA from 1 species